ACAUAGCCAUAUAAGCUAUAUAUAUCAUGAAAACGCGGUUACCAAUGACGAAAACCAGAUAUGUUAUUGGAAUUUGUGGAAGCACUUGAUCUGAGUUGGCUAUCCAUACUUACCAGUGCCGACAGUGAGACUUUUACUAAUGAUUCCUGCUGUACCUAAGAGUCUCUUAGCUACAAUGAACAUCCAUCAUUGGUCGGGGUUGGUGUAGUAGUAGCUGAUCUAUAGGCUCCUAAUUACUCAUUGUCCCCUGUUGUAUCCUAAGAGAAGGAUGCAUUGGUGCUAUGAAAGAACAAUGAAUAUCCAUCAUUGGUUUGGCAAGAUUACAUAUGCAAAUUGGAGAUAUGCUUACACUAUGGUAUUCUGUAUGGUGGUUCGUGACAAUAAUGGUACGAGUAUCGUAAUGGAACUUCAUUUUUGAUAUGUGAUUUUGAAAAAUGUAUGUAUAGUUAUACUAAUCUAAUCAUCUGGAUCAAUGAAAACCUUAUAGA